rnacentral:rRNA from 1 species
AUACGUAGGGGGCAAGCGUUGUCCGGAAUCAUUGGGCGUAAAGCGCGUGUAGGCGGCUUGAUAAGUCUGUUGUGAAAGUCCAGGGCUCAACCCUGGAAUGCCGAUGGAUACUGUCAAGCUCGAGUCCGGAAGAGGCGAGUGGAAUUCCUGGUGUAGCGGUGAAAUGCGCAGAUAUCAGGAGGAACACCAAUGGCGAAGGCAGCUCGCUGGGACGGUACUGACGCUGAGACGCGAAAGCGUGGGGAGCAAACAGGAUUAGAUACCCUGGUAGUCCACGCCGUAAACGAUGGGUACUAGGUGUGGGGGGUGUCGACUCCCUCCGUGCCGAAGCUAACGCAUUAAGUACCCCGCCUGGGGAGUACGGCCGCAAGGCUAAA